rnacentral:rRNA from 1 species
UACGUAGGGGGCAAGCGUUGUCCGGAUUUAUUGGGCGUAAAGAGCGUGUAGGCGGCCAGGUAGGUCCGUUGUGAAAACUGGAGGCUUAACCUCCAGCUGUCGAUGGAAACCAUCUGGCUAGAGUCCGGAAGAGGAGAGUGGAAUUCCUGGUGUAGCGGUGAAAUGCGCAGAUAUCAGGAAGAACACCAAUGGCGAAGGCAGCUCUCUGGGACGGUACUGACGCUGAGACGCGAAAGCGUGGGGAGCGAACAGG